CCUACGGGCGGCAGCAGUGAGGAAUAUUGGUCAAUGGGCGAGAGCCUGAACCAGCCAAGUCGCGUGAGGGAGUACUGCCCUAUGGGUUGUAAACCUCUUUUGUCGGGGAGCAAAAGCCGGACGUGUCCGGCUGUGAGAGUACCCGAACAAAAAGCAUCGGCUAACUCCGUGCCAGCAGCCGCGGUAAUACGGAGGAUCCAAGCGUUAUCCGGAUUUAUUGGGUUUAAAGGGUGCGUAGGCGGUUUGAUAAGUUAGAGGUGAAAUACCGGUGCUCAACACCGGAACUGCCUCUGAUACUGUUGUACUAGAGAGUAGUUGCGGUAGGCGGAAUGUAUGGUGUAGCGGUGAAAUGCUUAGAGAUCAUACAGAACACCGAUUGCGAAGGCAGCUUACCAAACUAUAACUGACGUUGAGGCACGAAAGCGUGGGUAGCAAACAGGAUUAGAUACCCUUGUAGUC
rnacentral:rRNA from 1 species